rnacentral:rRNA from 1 species
AACGUAGGAGGCGAGCGUUAUCCGGAUUUAUUGGGCGUAAAGCGCAUGCAGGUGGUCUUACAAGUCGGAUGUGAAAGCCCCUGGCUUAACUGGGGGAGUGCGUUCGAAACUGUGAGACUGGAGGCCGGAAGAGGAAAGCGGAAUUCCCGGUGUAGUGGUGGAAUGCGUAGAUAUCGGGAGGAACACCAGUGGCGAAGGCGGCUUUCUGGUCCGGGCCUGACACUCAGAUGCGAAAGCGUGGGGAGCGAACAGG